GGUUUUUCGUUGGUGUAGGAAAAAUCAGGCCUGCCCACUGAAGUAAUUUGAAGGGCUGCAGUAUAUUAACUGUACAAAGGUAGCAUAAUCAUUAGUCUUUUGAUUGGGGACUGGAAUGAAAGGUUUGACAAGCUUUGACUGUCUCUUUGGUACUAGGUGAAUUUUUUUUUUUGUGAAAAAUCAUAGAUGAGUCAGAGGGACGAGAAGACCCUAUUAAACUUUUUUUAUUUUUAGUUAUUUUUUUAUUGAUGAAAAGGUUAGGUAAAUUGAAAUUUACUGGGGCGGUAAGUUAUGUACAUUAUUUUUGUGCAACAUUUUAUUUGACUGAUGAGUAGAUCCAAGGGAUUGAUAAGGAGAAAUAGUUACUAUAGGGAUAACAGCGUAAUAUUUUUUGAGAGUUCAUAUUGACAAAAAUGUUUGCGACCUCGAUGUUGGAUUAAGAAGUCUUUUGGGUGCAGGAGCCUAUUGAGAUGGUCUGUUCGACAAUUAAAUUCUU
rnacentral:rRNA from 1 species